AUAUGGAAGUUCCCAGGCUAGGGGUCGAACUGGAGUUACAGCUGCCAGCCUAUACCACAGCCACAGCAACGCCAGAUCCGAACUACACCUGCAAUCCAUACUGCAGCUCACGGCAACGCCAGGUCCUUUAUCCACCAAGCAAAGCCAGGGAUCGAACCCAUGUCCUCAUGACACUAGUUGGGUUCGUUACUGCUGUAAAGUGAGGUCACAUGGUCAUCAAUUCCUUUUCUGGGCAAUUGGCCAAUUUGGUACAUGUGUUCAGUCAUUACUUACCACUCCUUGCUCUGUACAAUUAGACUGCUUCCUUAAUUUGCAGGUUGGUUUUCUAGUUACAAGUUUAUGGGUUCCUGGUUCCAUGGCUUAACUCUUCACCUCCCCUGCAAGGAAUAUUCUCCUUGAUGGCACGUGCCCAGGUGAUACUGUUCUACCUGUAGCUUAAACCAAACUGAUGAUAUUAAUAAUCAACUACUCACCUUACACUAGACUCUUUCCUAAAUUCAAGCAAAACAAUAUAGUGCCAACAAAAAGAAAAUUUUAUUAACUUUAAGUAAUACCUCUGGAGAAAAAAAAUUAUGUUAUUUUUAUAUAUAAAAAUUGAAUAUCAAUAUGAUAAGGGAAGAUAGAAAAGUAGAGGAUGAAAGGCAAAAGGAAAAUGCCUGGAUGAUUCUAAAAGUGAAAACUGUUGUCUAUAUUUGCCUUUGAGAAUAACUCUUAAAUGGUAAAUAAGAUGGGUAGUGAUUUAAAACUUGUUCAGGUACUCAACUAUUUGACCAUUUAAGCAUCCUUAUGUACCCAAAACACUUCAGGGAACUGUGAAAAAUGCAGAUAAAUACUGCAUUAAAUAACUGCAAUAUUAUUUUUAAGAGCUUACAAUAAAGUAGCAGAUACAUAUAAAGGCCAUAUAUAUUGAAGUGUCAGAUGAGGUUUCAAUAAAGUGCUAUGAAACUUAGAAGAAGAAAAAGCCCUUCCAAGAGUGGGGUCUAAGGUGAUGGCAUUUGCAAUGGCUUAAAGAUCAGGUACUGUUUAUUCUAAGCAUGAAAGAUGCCCACUUGUUCCUAAAGAAGGUACUAAGUACACGAAUGACCAGGAAAAAAUCUUGCUCUACUGCAAGUAAUGAUUUGCAAAGUUCAUUGUAGUUUACCAAGUUUCUAUAUUUAAUAUAUUUAAUAUUCACAAACAUUGCUAUUUUAAAAAUUGGGGAACUGAGAAAGAAAAAAGGUACUUUCUGAGGUACCAGAGCUGAUAAUGUAAACUGCAGAGGCAACAUUAGAAUCUACGACUUCUGACUCCAAGUCUAGGGCUCAUGUCAUCCCAUAAAGUUUCCCAAGAGUCCACACACCUGAAAGAGCAAUUCUAAGUACUGGUGGGACUGCAAACCCCAAGCUGUGUGGGUUUUAUCAAGGCCCUUGAGUCUGCGGGAGGUUUUAUCAUGGUUCCUCUGAGUCUGUUACUCAUGUAGACCAGUUAAACUGAGUCAAAAUUCACUUGAGAAAAGUCAGUCCAUUCAAAAGCUGCCAACUGGAGUUAUCUCUUCCUUGAAUUAGGUCUUGUGUAACUUGAGUGACGUCACACUAAAAAUCCUGCUCACCCUCCGGCAAUCAAGCUAGAAAUUAUUUGACUAAGGGCAAUGGUUGGAAGUUAGAGCCAGUGAUUUGGAAUGGAUUCCAAUAGCGAACUGAUCUAAAAAGACAAUGGUUUGUGUCUGGCUCUUCAAUCAAAUUUAUGUCUACUUUGUCUGUAAAGUGGCCAUAUAGAUUUUGUCAAGAAUUCAUAUGGCCAUCCCAGAGCAAGAACACAACAGCCACUGUGAUUGCCAGGAAGCUUUAUUUCUAAAAAGGGGUUUGCAGGUACUUAGUUGAAUUUGAAAAAAAAAUCUAGACAAUGAUUUUAAGAAAACUGUCUCAUCGCACCUCACCAUGUUUAGACAAAUGAUAUGGUAUGAACUAAUCAGGAUUUUGGAAGAAGUCUGUAAAUAAGAUUCUCCAUCUGAAGGUAGGAGGGACACUUUAAAUAUAAAAACAAAUCUAUAUGCAACAUUUAACAUGUUUUCACAUGCCAACAAAGAAUCACUUGUGUUAUGGGAUAAUAGAUGUGUUGACAACUCAAGGUUUAACUAUCUUCAUUUAGAUCAAGUGAAGGUCUUUACAAGGGCAACAAGAAUGUGAAUGUGUCCUGGAUGCUGCUCUGUACUACUUCAUAAAAAUUUCAUUAUCCACUUGGUUAUUUCUAGCAUAUUAGGGAACAUUAUUGAUUUUUAUAACCUAAUCUUGCAUCCGAUCACUAAAUUCUGAUAUUAGUUAUUGUCUUUGGUUUGGUUGAUUUAUUGGAUUUUUCUAGUGAGACAAUCAUAUUCUUCUCUUCCUUUCCAAUGUUUGAAAUUUCAUUUCCUUUUUUUGUCUUAGCACAUCAACUACACAGUAACAGCAAUGGCAACACAGAACACUUACAUGGUACUGUAUAUGCCAGAUGCUCUUCUAAGUAUUAGUUAUAAGCUCAUUUCAGCCUCACAACAAGUAUCUAAGAUGGGUAUUAUCUUCUUCAUCUUCUAAGUGAUGAAACUGAGGCAAGAAAGGUCAGGCAGGGAGUUCCUGUUGUAGCUCAGUGGUAAUGAAUCUGACUAGAAUCCAUGAGAAUGUGGGCUCAAUCCCUGGCCUUGCUCAGUGGGUUAAGGAUCGGGCAUUGCAGUGAGCUGUGGUAUAGGCCGACAGCUGUAGCUCCCAUUCAACCCCUAGCCUGGGAACCUCCAUAUACCCCCCAGGCGGCCCUAAAAUGCAAAGCAAACAAAACAAAACAAAACAAAAAAAACCCCAAAAGGUCAGGCAACAUAUAUAUGAUCAUAUAGCCCCUAAGAGGUUGAGCCAGAUCAAUGAAUUUCCUUUUUAUAUUAUUUUGGUAUAGUACAUACUCUAAUUGGGGAGAAAAAUUCAAGUUAGUAGGCCACAGCUAAGCACUGAAUGUGUCUCUCCUCCCCAAAUGUAUACAUUGAAAUCCUAGAGCCCUGUGAUGGAAUCUAGAGGUGGGGCCUCUGGGAGGUGCUUAGGUCAAGAGGGUGGACCCUCAGGAACAAGAUGAGUGCUCUUAAGAGAAAGACCCCAAGGAGCUCUCUAGCUCCUUCCACCAUGAGUGGACACAACUAGAAGUCGGCCACCUGCAACUCAAGCUCUUCCCCAGAACCCGAUCAUGCUGGCACAAAGACC
ensembl:lncRNA